UACAAUUUAAUACAUGUAUGUAUUGACAUGAAAUAUUCUAAAUUGACCAUCAAAUUCAACGAAAUUUAUUAAAAAUUGUGGUAUUCGUAUAUAACUUUUGAAAGCAUCAGAAUUCCAACGACCCAUUACUUUAAUUUGCUCAUCAGAAAAACCAAGCAUAGUUGCUGAAGUAGCACUACCGAUUCUAAAUGAGUGCGUCCCAUACUUUGAUUGAUCAAAACCAAUAUACCCCAGGGCUUGUUUUAGAAUUCCUGAAAACUGAUAUCGAGUCAUCGGAGAGCCAUCAAAGUGGCAAUAUAAUUGACCACUAAUUCGAGGUCGAAUCUUUAAAUAUUCUUGCAGUAAUUUUACCGGACAAAUUCCAACAUCUGAUUGUCGGUCCACAAAAAUUGAAGUCCCUCGACUUAGCUGGUCUGUUUUUGAAGACGCCAAGUAUAUUUUUAUAUUAUGAUUAGUAACCUCCACAUUUUCAAUUUUUAUGGCAUGAUUAGACCCUUCCCUGCCACAUGCAGUUUUCAUUUCACCAACUCGCAGAAAUGCAAAAAUUCCCAUUGAAAAAGCACUAGAAAAUAAGACAGCUUCAUAUCUGGAGCUACAAAAUGCGGGCAAAAUCUUUAUAAUAUUUUUUAACAGAUCUAAAGUAAUAGGUAAUCUACUGUCAGGUCUUUUCAACUUUGACCUUGCCAUUCCAUCAAUCAUUUUCCUUACAACAAUUAAUGGAGACACAUCUUUGUAAUUAUUAAUCUUAUUAAAAACUGAUAGCUGAGAUAUAACAUUUCACCGUAGAUGGAGCCAUGUCCAAGCAAGACAUGUAUGCAAUGAACUGAGUAAUGUGGUUCAAUGGUAUU
rnacentral:lncRNA from 1 species